rnacentral:rRNA from 1 species
AUUACCGAUGAACGCACCGGGGAUGCUUGCUGGCCCGUAACAAAGGCAUGUGCACUCUCCGGGGUUUUUCUGUGAACGCUCACUCAACACCCUGUGCACCAUUUGUAGGCUUGAGAAAUCAGCCUAUGUCUUCUCUUACCACAAACACGCUUUGAAUGUAUUUUGUUGGCAAAUAUAACAAUUUGAAACAACUUUCAACAAUGGAUCUCUUGGCUCUCGCAUCGAUGAAGAACGCAGCGAAAUGCGAUACGUAAUGUGAAUUGCAGAAUUCCGUGAAUCAUCGAAUCUUUGAACGCACCUUGCGCCCCUUGGUAUUCCGAGGGGCAUGCCUGUUUGAGUGUCAUUGAAUUCUCAAACCUGAAUCUCCCCUGGUUCAGGCUUUGGAUUUGGAGAGUGCCGGCCUUCAAACNAGUCCGGCUCCUCUGAAAUGCAUUAGCAAGACCCUCUUCCGACGGCUUUGUGGCAUUGAUAAGACUGUCCAUGCCUAUUUUUGUCCGGCGGAAAAGUGGUUGCUUUGAAAUUGUCYGAAGCGAAACGGACACUUUACCAUUGACCAUUGACCUCAAAUCAGGUAGGACUACCCGCUGAACUUAAGCAUAU